UUUCGGUUAGGAUUUUCCCUGUUUCUACGUCAUUCUCCCUUGUACGAGCUCAGCGUUCCACCAUGUUAAGUCGUUGAAAUGGGUGCUGCUGGUUUAGGCUGAGGCGACGCUGACUCUGGUUUUCUUUUCUUCCGAACGGUGCUGCGUCUCCCUCUGUUUCUUGCAUCAGCUGGAGAGUUCCGUUUUUCUCCCCUGUUUUGCUGUAGAUUCUAUCUUCUUUGCUGCCUCUGCCAUUACUGGUGUUUAAGGGUGUGUGGAAGAACAAGACCCUGAAAAGACUUAAAAGAAGAAUACUUUCGGGAGUUAGAACUUCAACAGAUUGGUUAGCUGACGCCGAUUCCACCAACGACCUCAAAAAGGGGCAACUAGCUACAGUGGGUGGAUCCUUUUGAUUGGUAUUACCACUUUAAUGUAAAUAUAUGAAUUGUAUGUCUUUUUGAAUCGAA